CCUACGGGUGACAGCAGUGAGGAAUAUUGGUCAAUGGACGAGAGUCUGAACCAGCCAAGUAGCGUGAAGGAUGACUGCCCUAUGGGUUGUAAACUUCUUUUAUAUGGGAAUAAAAUGUUCCACGUGUGGGAUUUUGUAUGUACCAUAUGAAUAAGGAUCGGCUAACUCCGUGCCAGCAGCCGCGGUACUACGGUGGAUCCGAGCGUUAUCCGGAUUUAUUGGGUUUAAAGGGAGCGUAGGUGGAUUGUUAAGUCAGUUGUGAAAGUUUGCGGCUCAACCGUAAAAUUGCAGUUGAAACUGGCAGGCUUGAGUACAGUAGAGGUGGGCGGAAUUCGUGGUGUAGCGGUGAAAUGCUUAGAGAUCACGAAGAACUCCGAUUGCGAAGGCAGCUCACUGGACUGCAACUGACACUGAGGCUCGAAAGUGUGGGUAUCAAACAGGAUUAGAUACCCCUGUAGUC
rnacentral:rRNA from 1 species